GUGAUUUAAUUGAACCCUUGAAAUAUAGACGAUCAAGGCUGGUGGCUGAGCCGAGAGAUUUUAAUUAUGUACAGCAUGCAGAUGUUUAUUCAUUUAUGAAAAACUCCAACGUGCAAGAAUGUUAAUAAUAUCUCGCUUCUGUUGCCGUAGAAAUUGCGACACGCAGAUUUCGAGAUUUUUUGCAAAUGACACAAAGCUUAAAUAACAAAAGAUUGCUGAAUAUGGAGAAGGAUAUCUUUAUUAAGUGGAAGGUUUAUUGGCCAAAUCGGCUAGCUUCGCGAAACAAGAAAUAAAGAAAAUUGAUGAGAUUGUAUCGGAUGAGCAUUGAUCAAGUACUUUGGCACUAAAAUUUCAAAGAUCUCAAAAAGUGGAGUUAACCACUUUGGCCUGCGAACGGCACAAAUAUUAGAUAUUAACCUACAUCUCUCUCUCUCUUCUUCUUCUUCUUCUUCUUCCUCCUCCUUUCAUAGUAAUAAAAAUCUAUCCUCCGAUGAUUCAAAGAAAUGAAACAAGUAAAGAAACCUACAUAUCUCUAAAAAUUACUAUAAGAAAUGCUAUUAUGAUUCGUUUAUACCAGUAAAAAGUUCUAAAGAACACAUAAUGAUCAAAUAAACGUCCGAAAGAACGAGCAAACAAUUAUAUUCCACAUGGAACUCUCAUUAACGCGGCUCACGUGGAGCGUCGAUUUCUUUUUCCUCCUCAUCAUCGUACAAAGACCUGCAUACACAAUAUGGCUGGCGCGCGCGUUUUAUUCGCUCGCUCUAUCAUCCUGUUUGGUUAUUCAUAUUUGUUACUUCAGGGUUCGACCCAGUCAUAUGAAUCAAGAUGCACGAACGAGGCUUCAGGCCGUGAAUUCAUCUACGAUAAUAAAUCGUCGCGAAUCGCUGAUUCACUCUUUAUAUGCUCAUUUAUGCGCGCGCGCGUUCGCUCGUUUGACCACGUUUCUCGAAAUAGACACGCGCGUGUGCGUGUGGUAAAAUUUGUUUCUUGCUGUGGCAAACAAAAAUCCACGGUUGCUGAACCCUCGUGCAUCCGUUUGUAAAAUAUUGAAACAACUGGCUGAAUAUUUACGAGCGUUCCUCCUUCGAUAACGCGACCGCACGAACGAAGAAUUCAAUGGCGAGACGGGGUCGGAAAGAUUUUUAAUUGUUGGAAUUGAUUCAAUGGCAGGGGCCAGAGAUCUUUUGUCUUUCCACCAGCUAAAUCGAGAUGGAACGUAAGUGCGUUGUUCGUUAGUAUUAAUAGCUAAUUUCGAGAGCAUCCUCGGCUUUUUUUACUCGCAAUAUUAUAUAUGUUAAAUACCUUUGAAACAAAUGUCGUUACAUUCGUUCGUAAAAACAUUUACGUCUAACAGAGGGUGGUUCGAGAGUUCUGCACAGUUUUAAGUUCUAUACGCCUUUAACGUUGAUAAGUUUGAUGCUAGGAGAGCAGAGUAUCGAAUGUUCUAAUAUAAACUUGGAAGAGAUGAAUGCCUCCAUGUAGAAGCGAGAAACGUUAAACACUUUAUAGAAAUGGAAAAUUUCGGAUAUGUUGGAACGCAUGUAGAGGAGAAAAUUUAUCGAAUGUACAAGUUUGUUAAUAACCUCCGGAGGUUAUUAAUAUUCUUACGUAAAAGUGAAGGACAUUUUAACGAGGAAGUGGAAGAUUUCAUUCCAAUAGUCUAAAGCAUAAGAUUAUGUAUUAUUUAUAGGUAUCGGAUGUUCUAGUAUAAAAUUGGAGUACAUAGACUAUUUAUAUUCCUUGGUAUAAUUGAACGCUCCAAUAUAUAUACAAGUGGAAGAUUUCAAAUGCACGAACGCAGAAGAGACUGUCGAACGUUCCAAUCCUUCGUGGACAAACUAGAUCGUUCGUAGAUCUAAGCUUAUCCUCUUCUAUUACUCUACUUUUAAAAAAUCUAAAAAAAUCUCAUAUUAUUUAUCAAUAUCUAUACUACAUUAUACGAUCGUUCUUAUUAUAUAUAUAUUAAAUCCUUUUAAAUAAAAAUAAAAAUUCAAAGGUGAAAUUUAUCAUUAUUUUGUAUCUAAGGAGAUAUAGAACGAUUAUUAUGAUAUAGUUAGAGGCUUCAUGCGUUCAUAGAAGCAAAGAACAUCAACCAUAUCCAUAUAAAACAAGAAACUAUUAAACGCUAUAUGUAUCACGCAUGUAGAAAAUUUAUACAAACCAACAGAACGUAGAACGCUAUAACGUAGAAUCGGAAGAUACUAAAAUACCCUAAUGCAUAAAUGAAGAACUUUGAACCCUCUGAUGUAAAAUUAGAGAAUAUUGAGUGUUCUAUCAGAGAACUAACAAACAUCGAGCAUUGUAAUGUAACAUUACGAAAUAUUAGAUAUCCUAAUAUGGGGACGAAGAACGUCAAACGUCACGAUGUAAAAUUGAGAAAACAUUAAAUCGUUCGCUGUACGAGCACUAAACUAUCCGAUUUGUAGAGUUACAAAAUACUAGCAGCUUCGUCAUGGAAAAUGGUGAAUAUUAAAUUCCAUAUUGUAAAACUAGGGGUUAUUAAAUGUCCCUAUAUAAAACUGAAGAAUAUCGAAAGGCAGUAUCUGCUGUUAAACAAGAUAAAAUACGACAGAAUCGGAUAAGCGGAAUAAAAUAACGAUUACGAUGUAACGGAAAGGACAAGAAAGGCGUGACGUUUUUUCAACUCCCGUCUGGCCCAUACUUUUUAACGAGCUGGUAAUAAAGUGAGCCAUUCAGCCGAAAUGAAUUUAUGUAUACUUCACGCGACAUGGAAAUGUGCACCGGCUUCCAAUUGCCACUUCAAUAGGCGUUAACGCAGAUAAAUGGCCCCCAACCGCAAUCAUCGACGUUCUUCGUGGCUUCCACCAGCUUUUCUAUUAAUGUAUUCUAUAAAAUCGUAUCGUUGCCGAUUUACCGCGAAACUCUUAGCCACCCUUGUUGCCUGGUCACUGUCGCAAUUUAUUGAUCCUAUAAAUACCCAAAAGCGAUUGUCUUACGGAAAUAGGAUUUAAAAUAUGUCGUCAAUCUUUUGCUAAAUGUGAAUCUAUUUGUAGUUUGUCUGGCGAGUCUUAAAUAUUUUGGUUUAUUCGAAUUUGUAAGGAUUUCGUGAUCUAAAGAACUGUAUAAUCUAACACGUACUGUACACGUUGAACAAAAAUUAUUUGAUUAGAUAUCGAUCGGAUAUUUAUAUUUUCUCAAUCCAUACUACACCUUCCAUUCAUGAUCAAUCAAGCGUUAUUUCCAUAAAGUGAAAGCGUCAUUGUAUCCAUCUCAGGUUCCACCUGAUCCAAUAGAAAUAAAAUAACUAAGUUUACGUUAUCUAAAAUAAUGAAUAAAUAUGAAGUAUUAGCACGAGUAUUCUAUUUUGUACAUUUUACGUAUUUUCUGUUUUUGCGCUUCCAUAUUCCCCACAGAUGUAUAUAUAUCAGCAGUAUAUUAAUCAGUUCGAAAGGAAGACCACCAUUUCAUACUUUGAAAUAAAAAGAAUCGAACAUUAGCGUGCAAGGAAGAUAAUUUCACUUGUGACUCAUAUUCUCAAUCUCUUGGACAUAAUAAUUUAGACUAUGUCAUAUUUAUAUUUGGAGGAACGAAAAUCGAUCAAUCUGAAAUUGAUCUGUCCUCUGUAACUUUCAAUUUCAUGAUUACAGGAAUUUCCGAUUAACUCCGCUCUGCUCUUUCGCUCAUUCUCGACUCAAUUACGUAUAUCUUUCUAACCUUAAGGAGUAUCUUAACCUUGAGCAAACUAUGACAAAAAACAACUAUGAUAAUAAAUCGUUACGCGUGACUUUUCAUUUCGAUUCUCUAUUAAACAUCUUUCUAAAACAUUGGGCAUCUUCUUUAUUUGCCAAGACGAAAGUAACAUUGAAAUAUCAAAAUUCGAGGGUCGCGGAAGAGUUAAAAGAUAACUCGCUCAAUAAAUUCAUUGUUAUGGAAAGAUUCAUCGUGUGGAAUCUCAAAACCAAGCAAACCUAACUGGCCGUUACUCGAUUAUGUGAAAUCCAAUUAACUUCGCUCCCAGUCCUUGUGCGUGAAAUAAUCUUCAAACGCCAGCGAAAUAAAAACAUUAUCCAGUGGCCUAACAAGGUGGAACGGAAGAAUUGGUCGCCACCUGACGAAGGAACAGAACCGAUUCGAUCCAUGACGCGAUUCGUUGUACCUUGCGUGGAUGGUAUGGAAACGUAGGCUCGCCGGAAGCCGAUAAGGGAGGAAAAAGCACGUUCAGUGCGUAAAGUUGGCAUCCAGGGUCGAACAAGGCGGGUAUAGAGCGUGGCUCGGUAACAUAACGGAUGUAUCGGAUGUCCAGAUCUCUCAACCUGCUGCCGCGCAGGAUUUUUCGUGGCUCGCAACGACCCGCUGACCACUCUCCUCACUUGAUAUCCGAUAACGUCCACGAAGGUCCUUAUUAUACCCAGCAGGACACAGCCUCUCCUUCUCACGACUUUUACGGAUUCUCUCCCGGACCCGGGAAUAUCCGCUUUCUGAUCAAACUUCGUUUGGCCACGAGAGUACGUCGAAGAGAAAGGAACAAGCUAUAAAGGAUUUUAGACAAAAGGAAGGGUUCAAUAAGCAGAGAAUGACAAGGGAUUUUAAAAUCCUAAGAGACCCUAGAAAAUAAGAGAAUAUUGUUCAACGUUUCCGACGAAAUUUGGUAAGUUGAUGGUC